UACGGAGGGAGCUAGCGUUAUUCGGAAUUACUGGGCGUAAAGCGCACGUAGGCGGCUUUGUAAGUUAGAGGUGAAAGCCUGGAGCUCAACUCCAGAAUUGCCUUUAAGACUGCAUCGCUUGAAUCCAGGAGAGGUGAGUGGAAUUCCGAGUGUAGAGGUGAAAUUCGUAGAUAUUCGGAAGAACACCAGUGGCGAAGGCGGCUCACUGGACUGGUAUUGACGCUGAGGUGGCGAAAGCGUGGGGAGCGAACAGG
rnacentral:rRNA from 1 species